CCUUGGUUAUUAUCCAAAGCAAACUACCCCUCCCCUCUUCUGUGUGGUCCCUCGAAGUCAGCCCAAUCUCUGUCUCCACCUAUGGGGUCCGCGGCAGUGAUGGGCCACCACCCAGGGCUCGCCUGCAGGUGCAGUGCGCAGACAUCCCGCCAGGGGGCGCGUCCGCCUGCUGUCGCCCGACGCCUGAUCACAACCAGUAGAUGCCCCUGAGGAUGUUCACUGGUGUGCCUGUUCUGCUCCGCGCCAGGGAUCCAGUGACGACCCAGCUGGGCCUCUGUGUGCACACCGUUUGCAUGGGGUCUUGCUAUCCUCAGGGAAGUCCCCCUGCCUCAGCCUCCCAAGGGCCUGGCCUGUAAGACGACUGCCGUUCUUUUUUGUCCUGCCAUAUUUUGCAAACCCGUGGUUUUUGCCAGCCAUCUUGGAAAUUCACCACCUUUAUUACCUAGCCAUGGUCUCUCUCCCUAUCUGGAGGCCUACCAGGCCGUCUAACUCCUCAAUACCCUGACAAAAGCAGCUUAAGGAAGAAAGGGUUGAAGCUCACAACUCCAGUUACAGUCAUCGUUUUGGGAAGUCACAGGGGGACGGGAGCCGGAAGCAGCUGAACAUCACAUCCGCAGUCGUCAGAGAGCAAUGGAUGCUUGCAUAUUGGCACUGGGCCCCUCUCUACAUUCCCAAGCAUAGGGAAUGGCGCUACCUAUGAAAUAGAAAAGCCGUCCCGAAGGUCAUAUGGAAUGUCGAGGGAUACCACACAAGUUCAUCAACCUUGAAAAAAGAAGAGAAAAGCUGGCCAGGGGAGUAACGCACUGUGGUGGGAGGCAGGGGCAGGAAGAUCACUAGAAGUUUCAAGUGAGCUAGGUCUGCAUAGAGAUUGGUAGGCCAGCUGAAAAAGAGGAGGGGGAAGCCGGGUGGUGGAGGCGCACGCCUUUAAUCCCAGUGCUCAGGAGGCAGAGGCAGAUGGAUCGCUGAGUUCAAAGCCAGCCAGGUCUAUAGAGUGAGUUCCAGGACAGCCAGCGCUACACAGAGAAACCCUGUCUUGAAAAAGAAAAAAAAAAAAAAAAAAAAAAAAAAAAAGGAAGGAAGGAAGAAGGGAGGAGGAGGAAGUAGAAGGAGAAGAGCAAGGCUACAGGAUUCAAGUAUCCUAAAUUCAAAGCUUACAAAAAGAAAAAGGCAGGUGCCACAGGGCUGAAGAAGGCUCGGGAGUUCUCACUACAUAGUGAGUUUGAGGACAGCCUGGGCUAAAUGAGGCCCUGUCUCAACACAAACAAGUGUUGAUGUGCUCACUGAGCUGUGAGAGGAGCUGGGAGGGAGGCAGGAAGCACAGGCUGGGGGUUCCUCAAACAUUUAAACCUGGCACCCCCUAAGACUGAGCGUUUCCCCUUCUGGUCCCCAAAAGAGUUGAAAACUGGAGGGCGUGGCACCCACCUUCACAGCAGUGAGGCGUGGAAGCGCCCGGUGUUCUCUGACAUGGUCUGAAUAGCAGAGCGCAGCCUUCACCUGAGCAGGACCCUUCACCUUCGAGUGGGAGGCACAGGGACCAAGCUGCAGUGGGAAAGUACCCUGCACAGGACCCUGGAGGCACAGGCCAGGCACAGGAAGCCAGGGCUGUGACUCCCUCAGAGGCAGGAAGUGUCACAGAAGGGAAGUUGCUCCAUGGUGAUUGAAAUGUAAAGAGUUGUGCAGCCAGGUUUGGUGGUGCCUGGUAACAGAAGGGUCAUGAGUUCAAGACCAGCCUGACUUAUAUAACCAAACCCUGUCUCAAUAAAAACAAAUUUUAGGAGAUGGGUGGCAAGGCCCACCCUAGAUGUGUUUAAUGUCCCUAAACUGUAUAUUCCUAAUGGUGAAGGGCUGGGGACUCCACUCUGUUGAUGGAGCGCUCACUUUACAUGCAUGAGGCCCUGGACUCAUGCCUGUAAUCCAGCACUUAGUUGAUCUGAGACAGAAGGAUCAGAAGUUCAAGGUCAUCCUCAGAUAUACAGAGUUCAGGGCCAGCCUGGGCUGCGUGAGACCCUGUCUCUUAAAAAAUAAUCUAGACAUAUAUCUACGGCACAGCGAGGACUGAGAGAGCCUUCAUCCAGCAAUUGAUGGAACCAGAUGCAGAGAUGCACAACCAAGAACCAGGCCGAGCUCCCAGAAGCCGGUCAAAGAGAGGGAGGAGAGAACAUAUGAGCAAGAGAGUCAAGAUCAUGAUGGGGAAAUCUACAGAGACAGCUGAACCAAACUCGUGGAAACUCAUGAACUCUAGACCUACAACUAUGGAGACUCCAGGGGAUCCAAACUAGGCCCUCCGUAUGUGGGAGACGGUUGUGAAGCUUGAACUAUCUGAGGGGACCCUGGCAGUAGGACCACAAUACAAACCUGGUGCAUGAGCUGCCUUGCUGGAGUCCACUCCAUAUGGUGGGAUGCCAUGCUCAGCCUCAAUGAUGGGAGAGGGGCCUGGCCCUGCCCAACCUAUUGUAUCAGACGUUGUUGACUCCUCAUGGGAACCCUUAGCCUUGAGGAGGAGUGGGCUGGGGUGGGCUGGGGCGGGAGGUGAGGUG
ensembl:lncRNA